UCCACUGGGCAGCGAAGCACGGCAAUCUUGAGAUGGCAGAGAUGGUCGCCAAAGCAGGCGUCGAUGUCAAUGCUAAAUCGCAUUUGAGUUUCUUCCUGUGUAUAUGAAGAAUAUACUUGCUGACUCAGAUGGGAAACAUACGUAUUUGCUGCUUCCCACUCUUGCUAGCCCUGAGGAACAAACACAGCUAAGAGAAAAUGUGGACCUUGCUACAAUGAACUAUGUCUUUUGUGAAUUCUAGUUUGGACCUCUGCAAUGCAACUUACAAGAGGUUACAUCAUAAAGCCAGGAAGAAUUGGAGUUAGGGUAAAAUAUGGGUGCUUGCUUGAUUCAAAGAUUAACUUACCAUCAAUAUAUACUACCUCUGAUCCGUUAUUUAAAGCUACACAUUCCAACCAUACUGUGGGGAGCUCUCCUGCAUUACGCUGCAUGUCCUCUAAAAGGGCUUUUAAUUCUGUCCAGGAUCAGGUGCAUAGAACCGUGACCUGGUUAUUAAGUCCGGUUGCUGCAUCAUAAGUUGUUUUGUAACAGCUACUGGGAACACUUCCACUUUAGGUUCUUUUGCUAAAGGUGGGGUGCUUGGUGUUUUUUAAACUUUCGAGAGCUUCUCAAGGAUAAGAGGGGGGAGAAUAUAUGUAUUCUGUGGUUGCCAUUUGGCUGUGAGGUGGAAUUGAAGGUGUUGAUUAUGACAAACCCUAAAUUCCAUAGAACUAUUCUCCCCAGAGACAGCUGCUCUCAACAAACCAUGUUGCUGCAAUUGAAAUCAGCAUAUCUACCUCAGCUAAUUCCCCUCACAGAAAGGACGCUUCUGACAGGGCUCUUCAUCUUUGGAAUUCAUUACCCCCUUAUGCUGCUAAUCCCAGGCCAUAACAGUUGGCUUCAGGACGUACUGUGAAACCAUCUUUUAUCACAAAUAUUUUUGGAAAGAUGAGUGGACUAGUGCUGGCAUUCCCGUUGUGCAAGAUAACCUGACAGUAGAGGGCAGAUAGAGUCUGAGGCAGGUAUCCUUUAAUGUUUAAUAUUUAACUCUAAAAUAAACAAGCAAGACACCCCACAAUUC